rnacentral:rRNA from 1 species
UACGGGGGGGGGCAAGCGUUGUUCGGAAUUACUGGGCGUAAAGGGCUCGUAGGCGGCCAACUAAGUCGGACGUGAAAUCCCCAGGCUCAACCUGGGAACUGCGUCCGAUACUGGAUGGCUUGAAUUCGGGAGAGGGAUGCAGAAUUCCAGGUGUAGCGGUGAAAUGCGUAGAUAUGUGGAGGAACACCGAUGGCGAAGGCAGCCCCCUGGGUCAAGACUGACGCUCAUGCACGAAAGCGUGGGGAGCAAACAGG